CCGUGUACAAAAGAAACAACACAGCCGCUAAAUUAUAAAACCGUACUUAUUAGCGCAAGUGAUAAAAAAUUUGAUAAUUGAUAUUUAACGUCUUAAAAACUUAAUUAUUUUAUAUUUUCGGUUAAAUUUAUUUAAAAAAUAAUAAAAUGAAAUGAAUAGUAUACUAUCUUAAACUUUUUUUUCAUACAUAGAAUUUUUACGGAACUUUAAAAAUAUUACAAAAA
rnacentral:lncRNA from 1 species